AGGGCACCACCAGGAGUGGAGCCUGCGGCUUAAUUUGACUCAACACGGGAAAACUCACCCGGCCCGGACACUGGAAGGAUUGACAGAUUGAGAGCUCUUUCUUGAUUCAGUGGGUGGUGGUGCAUGGCCGUUCUUAGUUGGUGGAGUGAUUUGUCUGGUUAAUUCCGAUAACGAACGAGACUCUAGCCUACUAAAUAGAUCGUCGGCUUACAAACGCCGGCGGGACUUCUUAGAGGGACAGGCGGUGAUUCAACCGCACGAAACAGAGCAAUAACAGGUCUGUGAUGCCCUUAGAUGUCCGGGGCCGCACGCGCGCUACACUGAAGUGAUCAGCGUGCUUUUUCAACCUACUCUGUCAAGAGUGGGGAACCCAAUGAACCUUCUUCGUGAUUGGGAUAGGGGAUUGUAAUUAUUCCCCUUGAACGAGGAAUUCCCAGUAAGCGCGAGUCAUAAGCUCGCGUUGAUUACGUCCCUGCCCUUUGUACACACCGCCCGUCGCUACUACCGAUUGAAUGUUUU
rnacentral:rRNA from 1 species